CCUACGGGAGGCAGCAGUGGGGAAUAUUGGACAAUGGACGAAAGUCUGAUCCAGCAAUGCCGCGUGAGUGAUGAAGGCCUUAGGGUUGUAAAGCUCUUUUACCAGGGAUGAUAAUGACAGUACCUGGAGAAUAAGCUCCGGCUAACUCCGUGCCAGCAGCCGCGGUAAUACGGAGGGAGCUAGCGUUGUUCGGAAUUACUGGGCGUAAAGCGCACGUAGGCGGUUAUUCAAGUCAGAGGUGAAAGCCCGGGGCUCAACCCCGGGAACUGCCUUUGAAACCUAGAUAGCUAGAAUCCUGGAGAGGUGAGUGGAAUUCCGAGUGUAGAGGUGAAAUUCGUAGAUAUUCGGAAGAACACCAGUGGCGAAGGCGGCUC
rnacentral:rRNA from 1 species